rnacentral:rRNA from 1 species
UACAGAGGAUGCAAGCGUUAUCCGGAAUGAUUGGGCGUAAAGCGUCUGUAGGUGGCUUUUUAAGUCCGCCGUCAAAUCCCAGGGCCUCAACGUCUGGACAGGCGGUGGAAACUACCAAGCUGGAGUACGGUAGGGGCAGAGGGAAUUUCCGGUGGAGCGGUGAAAUGACGUAGAUAUCUGGAGGAACACCGGGUGGCGAAGGCGAACAUCCUGGACCGGUAGUUGACGCUGAGGCGCG